rnacentral:pre_miRNA from 1 species
GCCUGGAAGAGGAAGAAUAGAUGGUCUUAGAGUAGUGGGAAUGGGAACAUGGAGGAAAGCCUAAAUUGCUUGGUUUUAACCUCUAGUGUUGGAGUUUAGAAUUUGGUAUGGUGUUUUACGAUGCCUCCCAUUCCUAUUCUAAAGCAUUCCUUGUUCUUUCUUUUUUGG